UUGGUUGGUGGUGGUUGGCCAGAUGAAUUCAUCUGAUCAAAACUGGGUCUCCCUAGACCCUAUCUCCUACAAUUUUUACCAUAUGAAAAUGAUUCCAAGCGCAAAGUUACUCUAAAUUUAAUUACAAACAACUUUCAUGUUGAGACCUAGAGCUAGUUUUGCUUGGAAAAUCAUUUUCUAUGUUGAAACAUUAUAGGUCAUUUUGUCUAAACCCUAAUUUGAAAGUCAAC
rnacentral:lncRNA from 1 species